rnacentral:rRNA from 1 species
AUUGAACGCUGGCGGCAGGCCUAACACAUGCAAGUCGAACGCGAAAGCUCUUCGGAGUGAGUAGAGUGGCGGACGGGUGAGUAACACGUGGGAAUCUACCUCGUAGUGGGGGAUAACUUGUGGAAACGCAAGCUAAUACCGCAUACGUCCUGAGGGAGAAAGCAGGGGAUCUUCGGACCUUGUGCUAUGAGAUGAGCCCGCGUCGGAUUAGCUAGUUGGUGGGGUAAAGGCCUACCAAGGCGACGAUCCGUAGCUGGUCUGAGAGGAUGAUCAGCCACACUGGAACUGAGACACGGUCCAG